UACGUAGGUGGCGAGCGUUGUCCGGAUUUACUGGGCGUAAAGAGCGCGCAGGCGGUCGUCCAAGUCGCGUGUGAAAGCCCCCGGCUCAACUGGGGAGGGUCACCGCUAACGGUCGUGCUGUGAGUGCAGGAGAGGGAUGUGGAACUCCGGGAGUAGCGGUGAAAUGCGUAGAGACCCGGAGGAACACCAGUGGCGAAGGCGGCAUCCUGGUCUGCGACUGACGCUGAGGCGCGAAAGCGAGGGGAGCGAACGGG
rnacentral:rRNA from 1 species